GAUGAACGCUGGCGGCGUGCCUAAUACAUGCAAGUCGAGCGAACAGACGAGGAGCUUGCUCCUCUGACGUUAGCGGCGGACGGGUGAGUAACACGUGGAUAACCUACCUAUAAGACUGGGAUAACUUCGGGAAACCGGAGCUAAUACCGGAUAAUAUAUUGAACCGCAUGGUUCAAUAGUGAAAGACGGUUUUGCUGUCACUUAUAGAUGGAUCCGCGCCGCAUUAGCUAGUUGGUAAGGUAACGGCUUACCAAGGCAACGAUGCGUAGCCGACCUGAGAGGGUGAUCGGCCACACUGGAACUGAGACACGGUCCAGACUCCUACGGGAGGCAGCAGUAGGGAAUCUUCCGCAAUGGGCGAAAGCUUGACGGAGCAACGCCGCGUGAGUGAUGAAGGGCUUCGGAUCGUAAAACGCUGUUAUUAGGGAAGAACAAAUGUGUAAGUAACUAUGCACGUCUUGACGGUACCUAAUCAGAAAACCACGGCUAACUACGU
rnacentral:rRNA from 1 species